UACAGAGGGGGCAAGCGUUGUUCGGAAUUACUGGGCGUAAAGGGCGCGUAGGCGGCCAACUAAGUCAGACGUGAAAUCCCCAGGCUCAACCUGGGAACUGCGUCUGAUACUGGAUGGCUCGAGUUCGGGAGAGGGAUGCAGAAUUCCAGGUGUAGCGGUGAAAUGCGUAGAUAUCUGGAGGAACACCGGUGGCGAAGGCGGCAUCCUGGACCGAGAUUGACGCUGAGGCGCGAAAGCCAGGGGAGCAAACGGG
rnacentral:rRNA from 1 species